rnacentral:lncRNA from 1 species
UCUCGAACAUCAGAAUUAGAAUCAACGGGUAGGCUAGUAUAGUAGGUAGUGGCGAAAGCAAUCUCUGAGUGGCCCACGUGAGAGCGGUCUUCUCUAGAGAUGAAUAACGAGACUCGUAAUCUGUGAACUUCUUAGCUUAGGUAAUAGAUCGCUCCUUUCUCCCUGUCUCGUCAUGUUGACCAUUUACCAUUGAGUUCUCGUUCACUGAAAGAUACAUAAUCUGGGGUCGGCCCGGGAGUGGGCGCGUGGGUGGAUUUAGAAGGCACUUUUGAAUUCUAUCGAAGGCAAGCUGGCACUGAUCAAUUGCUUUGGCCCUUACUAGUUUGCUCGCAAAUUGGAGCUUUUUUUUCUUCAUUAUAGUAACUUCUAGCUUACUUUAUGAAACUGCCACUACUCAAAUGGUUUUUUUACAACGCUGCUGAAAAACAACAGCGCGCUACUUAUAGCACUUUGUUGUUCUCGCUGCGUAAAGUGGAGCUCGUCGCUUUUCCGUAUCUUUGCGGGGUUUCAGGCUCCAACUCGAAAAAAACCCUCCUAGGGGGCACUUGGACAACUCAUUAGAGAAAAAGGGGCAUGAGAUUCAAAAAUCCCUAAACUUGCUGCACUUCCUGAGAUGAGAAAAGAAGUCGUCUUGGUAUUGGAUCCGCUCUUCUGUUAGCAUGAACAUGAAUUCUCUUAUUUGUCAAACUAUCCGGAGUCGACCAGAGCAAUCUAACAUGUAUCAAGAACUUUCUUCCAAUGGGGGGUCCCUUAUCCCCGUUGAAUAUACCGUCCUUCCGUUGUUAUUCAUCGCUUUCUCUUUUUUUUACUUGAACACUCAUUAGGUCUACCACCCCCUCUUCCAUCUUGGAUUUUCGAUUCAUGUUCUUGAAUUUCAUUGAAUGCGUUCACUGGAGAAGGUUCGGUUCAUUUGGAAAAGAGGUCAGUCUUAGGGGAGACCAUGCGAAUGGUUGAAUUGAUGACAAAGCUUCGAUCUCUUCGACUGAACCUGAAGGAGACUUCGAUCAUUCAACUUUAGCUUCUGAAGGAAUCAUGUCACUUGGAAUUCCGGAAAGUUCAUCUUCUCUUUCAGAUCCUGGCCUUGGUAGAACUUGUCUUUGAUUUACAGGUUCGAUUGUUAAGCAUAUAGCUUGUAACUCAAUUUCAUCGAACCUUUCUUUUGGCUUCCUUAUGUCACCUUCCCUUGAACAGUGUAAAGCAUCUGCGACUCCUGACUCAAGACAGGCGGCCGGUAACUUCAUUGCUAGAUAGAUCAUGGGGUUCCUUUUCUUUAUGCGCUCAGUCCCUUGCUUCUUCAGUAGGGCAGAUCAAGUGAAUGGUAAGCUAAGACGAAAGCCCUACCGGUCGAUAAUCACUAUUCCCUCAAUGCCUUCCAUCGGCCUGCCUUCUUUAUAAACCUUCUGGCGCCUUUCCUUCUUCCCUCUCUGAGUUAGACUCCUUAAAGAGAAUAGGCAUCCAUCCAUUGGUUUACGCUUUGUUCUAAAAUAAAGGAAGCUCGAUCGGAGUUUCGUUCCCUUAUCUUGAAGAACUUCUUUUCUUAUCUUUCUUGCAUCCGAAAUAAGGGGCUCGACAGAGAACGGGUGAACUCGCCUCUUGAAGAUUUCUUACCGCGAUCUGAGACAACUCCUUACAAACCUUCGAAUCCUUCUUUCACUGACUACUAGGGAAGGGAAACUAAGCUGUAGCUGUAGUUGGCAGUUCGAGUUCUGGACGGAUGGGACUUGAAGCUAACAAGUAAUAACAAGUAAGUGUGCUCCGAGUUCGACCCCUGAGUUCUUGUUCUUGUGAUAGGAAGAACUGCAGUUCGUAAGUGUGAAAAAACUUCUGAGUUCUAGUUCUUAG